rnacentral:rRNA from 1 species
GAUGAACGCUGGCGGCGUGCCUAAUACAUGCAAGUAGAACGCUGAAGGAAGGAGCUUGCUCUUUCCGGAUGAGUUGCGAACGGGUGAGUAACGCGUAGGUAACCUGCCUGGUAGCGGGGGAUAACUAUUGGAAACGAUAGCUAAUACCGCAUAACAGUAGAUGUUGCAUGAUAUCUACUUAAAAGGUGCAAUUGCACCACUACCAGAUGGACCUGCGUUGUAUUAGCUAGUUGGUGAGGUAACGGCUCACCAAGGCGACGAUACAUAGCCGACCUGAGAGGGUGAUCGGCCAAACUGGGACUGGGACACGGCCCAGACUCCUAAGGGAGGCAGCAGUAGGGAAUCUUCGGCAAUGGACGGAAGUCUGACCGAGCAACGCCGCGUGAGGGAAGAAGGGUUUCGGAUCGUAAAGCUCGGUUGUAAGAGAAGAACGAGUGUGAGAGUGGAAAGUUCACACUGUGACGGUAUCUUACCAGAAAGGGACGGCUAACUACGUG